rnacentral:rRNA from 1 species
CCUGGCGGCUGUAGCGCGGUGGUCCCACCUGACCCCAUGCCGAACUCAGAAGUGAAACGCCGUAGCGCCGAUGGUAGUGUGGGGCCUCCCCAUGCGAGAUAAACG